UACGGAGGGUGCAAGCGUUAUCCGGAUUCACUGGGUUUAAAGGGUGCGUAGGAGGGCAGGAAAGUCAGUGGUGAAAUCCUAGGGCUUAACUCUAGAACUGCCGUUGAUACUACUUGUCUUGAAUACCGUGGAGGUGAGCGGAAUAUGUCAUGUAGCGGUGAAAUGCUUAGAUAUGACAUAGAACACCGAUUGCGAAGGCAGCUCACUACACGAAUAUUGACUCUGAGGCACGAAAGCGUGGGGAUCAAACAGGAUUAGAAACCCUCGUAGUCC
rnacentral:rRNA from 1 species